AGCGCACCUCAGACUUAAACAUGUCACACUUACUUGGCUUAAGCUUUAUGCCAAAACCUCUCAAUCUCUGGAGCACUUUUCUCACGUCCUCCAAGUGAUCUUUGAACGUCUUGCUGUAAACUAAUGUGUCAUCCAGAUAGGGGAUGCAGAUGUUGUCGCGCAGCCCAUCCAGGCACUCUUCCAUACAGCGCUGAAAUGCUGCAGGGGCAUUCAUAAGUCCAAAGGGGAUGCGAAUCCACUCAUAUAAUCCCCAGGGGGUCACAAAAGCAGUGAGUGGACGACUUUCUUCUGACAUGAACCCCUGGUGGUACGCUUUCCCCUGAUCUAAAAGCGAAAACCAGGAGUUUCCACCCAAACUGUCCAUAAUGUCCUGAACGCGUGGGAUGGGCUGGCGGUCAGGAUGGGUUUUCCGAUUCAGGUCUCUGUAGUCUAUGCACAGUCUUAAAGUACCAUCUUUUUUUCUAACACAAACGACUGGUGAGGAGUAUGACGAGUCUGACUUUCUGACCCAGCCUUGUGCUAUUAAAUCAUGCAGGUAAUUUUUCAUCUCUUGGUAGAGCGGCCGUGGCACAGACAGGUAUGUACGUUUGACUGGUUCGUUGUCUUUGAGUGAGAUGGUCAUUUUCAGGUUUUCAAUACAGCCUAUAUCAUUGUCUGUCUUAGAGAAAGAAUGGCAUUCCUCUCUGAGCAUCUGUUUCGCUAAUACUCUCUGCUCUUCACCCAGGUGGCUAAGAUCUACAGGUGGGUCCCACUCUUCACUAGGGCUACACUGGGCUUGUGUGUUUGUCUGGUUAACAGUAACUACAGAUGUGGCUUUUUCAAACAUCUGGGCAGGUAAAACAGCUGUAAUAGUCUGAACCGAGCCAACUAACGUACGGCCUGGAAUGACAAUUUCAUGGUCAGUGGGGUUAGAGACACCUAGUGUUAUGACUGGUAAAGUACCCUUCUUAACUUUAACCAAAGUGUCAAAAAACUCAAGAUUGUCUGGCCACUGAGGGUUUAAGUCUGGCUCAAAUAUCAUGACCAUGUCCUGUUUAAAUGGCCCUGCUGCUAUACGACCCUCAACAUGCAUGUGGCUUUGUUUAGGUACAGUAAUACAGUCUUUCUUCGUCAUCACUUUGUACUCAUCAACUGUAUCUGCACUAACAGCCUGUAUAAAAGCUUUCACUUUGUGUCUUUUGAGGCUGGGAAAUGCUUUCCUCACUGUGCUGUACAGUUUAGCUUGGUCAGUCUUAUUCACAAUGUAUUCAAUGACAUUGUAACCUAUAAUAGGGCAUGUGAGCUGAAAACCUUUCAUUACCAACAUGGGGAUGGUCAAUUUCUCCGUUCGUUCAGUUCCGGAAACAAGUUGGAAGGUUGUCUCAACCCACCCAAGAUAUGGCAUGUUGGUCCCAUUUGCUGCGGUCAGGAGCUUGAAGCCUCUGGCCGUCCAGGAGACACUCAACCAGACAUUGCCUGCCCACCAGAGAUGUGACUUUGUGAGGGGUGUCUACAUGAGCUGGCGGCAGUGGUACCUGAACAGUCUCAUUGUCUUUGUUAGUCUUUAAGCCAGUGCAUUGUCUCUUAUGUUGUCUCCAGUGUUGUUUCUGGCAUGCUUUUGAACAAUAAAGUGCAUUUUCACAUACUGAACACCGUCUCAUGCCUGACUUUUCUUGUUUACAGUUGGAGCAAUGUUGGGACUUGUGGAUGAUGGGCAUGGUUAACACUCGUCCCUCGGUGGUAACCAUUGCUGGUUUAAAUGUUUCUCUUUAUAUGGUCUCAUACCUCUGCUUCUACAUCCAGCCUGAAAGUGUUCUCUACUCCCACAGAGGUAGCAGUGUGUGCAGCGCUCGUUGACUCCAUUCUGCUGGCAAAUGUGGCACCUCCUCUCACGGCGGGCUGGACUACCUGUGUAGUGCUGUACAGGAUACUGAGGGGGUGGUGGUCUUUGGCGGGGGCCCUGGAAGCCAUAAUACUGUUGUUGCUGCUGGUCCCUAUCAUACUGCACAACUGGUGGUGGGACAUAUGACUGAGGACCCGGCACCGGCUGCUGUAGAGUCUCUUUAAUCUGCGCUAUCUCUGCACUGAGACCUUUUAGGCAGGCUACACCUGUCUUAAGCUCCGCUAACUCAGUUAAAAGCUCGGGUGGUAUCUUAGCUUUAACUUCUUUCACAGGGUUCUUAGCAGGCGACACAUCAUCUGACUGCACUGCACUCACACUUGUAGCAGUCUGUGAUGCUAGACAUCUUUUCUUGUUUUUCCUUUCUGCCUCAUUGGCACAAGCCAUAUUUAACCUCUCUAACAGCAGUUCAUCAGGUGUCUUAGAGUCUAACAGGAGUGGCUGCAUAUCUAUCCUGACACUGUCACUCUGGAAGCCUGUGAGUAUGGUGUGUAAACACAUACGCUGGACUAAAGCUGGGUCGUAUUUGAGUCCUGACUCUGAUUCUUGGGAAGCAAAUAGGACUUUCUGCUUUAGAUCUAAAACUCUCAUCAGGAAGCUUUGAGCAGUCUCUUUCGGGGUCUGUACCUCAGAGGCAAGUUGUUUAUAGAGUUCGGUGGCGCUCUUCUCCUGGAAAUGGGAGCGCAGGAUGCGGCGUAGAGUCGGAAGGGUGAGUUGAGCUUUUCCUUCCAAAUAGCUACGUAGUUGUAGACCUGGCAAGAUAGCUCUGAUGACAGCAUCUACAAUGUCAAGCUCUGAGUAGCCUCUGCUCAGUCCAUUUUCGAUCUGGUGAGCAAGACUGGAAAAUGUCAGUUUGUCUUUUUGACCUGGUUCGCCAAUCUGACCUGAUAUUUUGAAGUCUCUCUGCCAGUAAGGGCUUGGUCGUUGGGGGACACUUGACACAGAUGAGUUAGGGACAGAGCGAUUAGCUUGGGAGUGAGAACUAACCACUGUGUUAACUGCAUUAGCUGUCUCUGUUACCAGUGAGGUUGCAGUGUUUAGUUGAUCUCUGUGCCCUGAAUAAUCCCCUUCAUUUGCAUUUGGUUCAGUCUCAACAAUUGUCUCUUUCAUUACUUCAGCAAUCUUAUCAUUAAGCAACAACAGUUCUGACAUUCCUUCAUCCUCAAGUACUGUUAUACCUUCUCUUUCAAUGUGUAUUUGGAUGUGUGUUAGCAG